GUGGGGAAUAUUGCACAAUGGGGGAAACCCUGAUGCAGCGACGCCGCGUGAGUGAAGAAGUAUUUCGGUACGUAAAGCUCUAUCAGCAAGGAAGAAAAUGACGGUACUUGACUAAGAAGCCCCGGCUAACUACGUGCCAGCAGCCGCGGUAAUACGUAGGGGGCAAGCGUUAUCCGGAUUUACUGGGUGUAAAGGGAGCGUAGACGGUAUGGUAAGUCAGAUGUGAAAGCCCGGGGCUCAACCCCGGGACUGCAUUUGAAACUAUCAGACUAGAGUGCAGGAGAGGUAAGUGGAAUUCCUAGUGUAGCGGUGAAAUGCGUAGAUAUUAGGAGGAACACCAGUGGCGAAGGCGGCUUACUGGACGAUAACUGACGUUGAGGCUCGAAGGCGUGGGGAGCAAACAGGAUUAGAUACCCCGGUAGUCC
rnacentral:rRNA from 1 species